ACCUGCAGAAGUUCACACUUAAAUCCUACACGAGAGUCGUAUUUAUGAUGCAGAACUCGGUGCAGAACCCGAUGGAGUGCCCAAGGCGCUUGAGCCGUUCCUAGAAGGGGAAGGAGAGCCGCGGGCGGCAGCGGGGCAGGGGACGGAAUUGGGAAGCUUGGGAGCAGGAAGAAGGCCAGAGCUACUUAGGGUACAUUCCACUUUUGCUUGGCGCCGGAUGGAGAAACGGAGGCCCAGGGAAGGGAUGUGCCCGAGGUCAUACAAAGAAGUUUGUGGGAAUCCAGGUCUGACUCGCACUCAAUCUAGUGCUCUAAUAAUGACUUGAGUGAAUUGUAUGAAUGUGCUCAGAGGUGGAGCAGCAAUCAUAAAAGUAAUAAUGGUACCAUUUAUGGACCAUCUAACUACUGUGUUAAAACAAUUUACAGGCCAUGCGCGGUGGCUCACGCUUGUAAUCCCAGCACUUUGGGAGGCCGAGGCGGGCAGAUCACGAAGUCAGAAGAUCGAGACCAUCCUGGCUAACACGGGACUCAAGACUGGAAUGGGAAGAGCAUGAAAUUGAGCUGUCUAUCCCCCUGGAUCUCUCAUUGCCACCUGCCCAUAGGUUGGCUGCACCCCUCCACCAAAGAAAGGCCAUGACUCCUUCCUGGCAGCCCUGUCUUACAGCUACUCUCUGGUGAUCUGGGAACCACUCCCUCCCUUACCCCUUGAUGCCUAGGGCUAGUGCCAGCACCUUGUUGUUGUUAGCCUCAGAGGCACUUGCACUGUUCCUUGAUGGUUUUCCCAAAUCUUGCCCUCAUCUUUGUAAAUACUGUUUGCCGUUUAUUACACUGUCAUCAUAUUACCCAAUUUGAGUGUGUCAUCUAUUUCUUCCAAGACCCUGACUGAUACAGUGGGUAUAUUUGGAGCCAGAAAAAACAAUGACAACAAAACCAUUUGUUUGAGAAUUAGAAUGUGUUAGGAGAGUCCAUAAUCAGAACUGUCUGAGCACAUUUACUGCUGCCUAUGAACGGUUUAGAGGAUGAGGACAGCUGGCAUGGGAUUAAGGUAACCUUGUCCAGAAAGAUUUCAUUCAUUUAGAAAAAAUUUAUUGAAGGCCUACUAUCAUGCACCAAGCACUACUCUAGGUGCUGGGGGAAAAGGACAAAUAAAUCAUGUUCCUUUCCCUCAAGGAGCUCACAAUCUAGUAGCAGGGGACAGAUAUGUAAACAGUUAGUUGCAUAAAGCAUCACAGUGCUGUAGUAGAUGUCUGAGCUAGAGAUAAGAACUUUGGAA
rnacentral:lncRNA from 1 species